AUUUCUCAACCCCUUUCAAUUGACUUUGAUUGGGAGCUUGGAUAGUGGGGGUUUGCAGGAAACUUGGAUCUUUUCUUUCAUUAGAAAAAGUCUAGGAUUCGGGCUCUCCUGAAAUACAUUGGCUUGCGGGUCUACUUUCGACUUUGUGCGAUAAGGCUUUCGGUGUGAUAAUGAUCACCGUGUGCUGAAGUGCAUAACUGUAAAGUUCCGUGCCUCUAAUAUUGUCGAU
rnacentral:misc_RNA from 1 species